rnacentral:rRNA from 1 species
GAUCCGUAACUUCGGGAUAAGGAUUGGCUCUAAGGGUUGGGUACGUUGGGCUUUAGGCGGACGGCCCGGGAGCAGGUCGCCACUAGCCGGGCAACCGGCCGGAGGCUUCCAGCAUCUGGGUUCUGACGCCUUUAGCAGGCUUCGGCCGUCCGGCGUACGAUUAACAACCAACUUAGAACUGGUAC